ACUCUUCCAAGUGCUUCCUGCAGUGCUCUGCACACAAGACUUAACCUACCUACCUCUGGGAGCGCCCCAUCCAGCAAGCAUCCAGCCAGGCAGAGCUGCAGUCUCAGACAUCAGCAGAAGCCUAGUCGAUGGGAGGGUGAGGUGGGCUAGAUGAAAAGAUGCUGGCAGCAGCAAAGGACUGCAGCCUGAAUUUCAAACCUCCAAUUGGCUCGGCUUCUCCCAGAAUAUCAGAGGAAUGAAGAUGGCAGUGAAAGAAGACCUUCGCUCCAGCUCAUGCAGCAAAGAAUGGAUAAAGGCAAAACCCUUAGAGGCUCUGAACCAAUUCCCAGCACUGUAAGCUAAGUCUUUGUGGCCAGGAAGAUGGAGGUAAAAUGCAAAUAGUUUUCAUUACGCAAACAAUCUCCUGCUUGGAUUUAUCUUCCCAAGGUCUUCAUGGCCUGAAAAGAUACUAUGGGGUUAAAAAAGGAGGAUUUUGCUCUACACAAAACCUCUACUACUUAUUUGCCUAUGUAAGUAUUCAAAGGCCUUCAAAGAAAAUAGAUGAGGAGGGAAAGGAGAGAUUUUCUGGAUGCCGAGACAUCUCCUGUGCCUAAGCCCCCACCUCAUGUCUCCGAGACCUCGUAUUGCAGAACAGAUAAGGAGUAGUUGAGGUGCCAGAGGAGAAAUAUGAUCCAUGCGAAAAUUCUCCAGAUUUCAUUUCUCUACCAAAGGUGGUCUUUGAGAUCUUCACAAAGAUGUUUGAGGUAGAAAGGGAGAAAUUGGCUUCAUGCAAACAGCCUCCAGGUUUAAUUUCUCUGUCAAAGGUCUUCUAUGUCUUGAGAGAAUAUUAGCUGUGCCAAAGGAGAAACUUGCUUCAAGGAAAUAAUCUCCAGUUUUAUUUCUCUAUCUAUGGGGUCUUCAAGGCCACCAAAGAGAAUGUUGGAGGUGAAAAAGAGGAAAUUUGCUUUAAACAAAAAAACUCCUGCUACAUUUUCUCUUCCUAAAGUCUCGAAGCCUGAAAAGGCAAUAUAUGGGUUGAAAAUAUGGAGAAUUUUGCUUCAUGCAAAACCUCUCCGAAGUAUUAAAGGUCUGCAAGGCUUCAAAAGAGAACACUUGAGGGGCCUAUAGGAGAAAUUGGCUUCUUGCAGAUACAUCUCCUGUUCAUAACUCCACCUCAGGCCCCCAAGGCCUUUGAACUGAGCCUGAAUGAGGGAACGUUUGAGGUGUAAAAGGGGAAAUUUGCUUCAUGCAAACAUCUCCAGCUUGGAUUUCUCUACCUAAGGUCUUCAAGGCAAGAAAAGAUAAUAUUUAAGGUCAAAAAGGAGAAAAUUUCUUCCUGGAAACCAUCUCCAGCUUUUCUUUACCUAAGGUCUUGGAGGCCUCGAAAGAGGGUUCUUGAGGUGAAAAAAGAGAAAGUUAGUUUAAGAUGAAAAAGGAGAAAUUUGCCUCAUGCAAAAUAAUCUCCAGACUUUAAAUACUCUUAGCUAAACUUUUCAAGACCUGCAGAGUCAGUGUAUUCAGUGUAGGAGAGGGACAAGGAGUAAUAAUGGUUCAUGCCAAAAAACAAAAAAAAAACCCAAAACCCCUCUCAUUUGUUUCUCUAAGUAUGGCCUUUAAGGCCAGCAAAGAGAACAUUUGAGGAGUGAAAGGAAAUAUGACCCACAUGCAGAUUUCCUCUUUUAUUUUUAACCACCUCAGCCUUACCAUCCUUGUGUUUUAUUCUAAGAUUUUGAGCCCCUGAAGGGCCAGAGAUCAUGUCUAACACUCAUUUGUGUAUUUUUCCCCCAGUGCUUAGUA